rnacentral:rRNA from 1 species
GACGAACGCUGGCGGCGUGCUUAACACAUGCAAGUAGAACGGAAAGGCCCUGCUUUUGUGGGGUGCUCGAGUGGCGAACGGGUGAGUAACACGUGAGUAACCUGCCCUUGACUUUGGGAUAACUUCAGGAAACUGGGGCUAAUACCGGAUAGGAGCUCCUGCUGCAUGGUGGGGGUUGGAAAGUUUCGGCGGUUGGGGAUGGACUCGCGGCUUAUCAGCUUGUUGGUGGGGUAGUGGCUUACCAAGGCUUUGACGGGUAGCCGGCCUGAGAGGGUGACCGGCCACAUUGGGACUGAGAUACGGCCCAGACUCCUACGGGAGGCAGCAGUGGGGAAUAUUGCACGAUGGGCGGAAGCCUGAUGCAGCAACGCCGCGUGCGGGAUGACGGCCUUCGGGUUGUAAACCGCUUUCGCCUGUGACGAAGCGUGAGUGACGGUAAUGGGUAAAGAAGCACCGGCUAACUACGUG